UUCAUGAACUGGCAAACUCAUAAAAUUUUAUGUAUGUUGCUUAUACGCAAUCAGAUUAUUGUUGAUGAAAUUCUAAAAUUGAGUACUAAUAAUUUACCUUUCCAAAAGGCGAAUCUUUAGUUCUAACAACGGAGGGAAACACAUUUCCUUCUCGCGAGGUCGAGCUAGUGUUCGAUGAAUCUGAAUUCAUUCUUUCUGCGUGAUUAGCAUUCGAUCCGAACGUUUCGCAAUCCAUGAUAUAUGGCUGAUUCUCUACUUUUGUGUGCAAAUUCGCGGAAAAUAGUUGGAAAUGAAAGCCAAUUUAACAAUAUAUCUUCUAUGUUACUUUUUCACUUUCAAAAUGCAGCACAUUUGCGAGUGCUUCAGACCGUCAUCGAAUUUUCUGGGAAACAAAAACGGAAAAACAUGUUUGCCUGCGAUCGGGUGCUUCGAAGUACGCGGGCUGUGGAAUUUAUCCACUGAGCUUUGGAAUUUAUCCCAUGGGCCAGUUGUUCAAAGGUGGGUUAGCCAGUGGCGUAACGGAGGAAGAGGGGGCCCUUAGGCAUAUUUGGUGUGGGGGCCCCUGUUGGAAUGUUG